UUCUGGGGCGGUGUUUACCGACUCUUCUUCUCUGCCUCCGCCCUGCUCUUGGCUGGGGCGUCAAGCCUUUCUGUUUUUCAGCCAGAUCCGCGAAAACGAAAACACAGCUCGGGGAACCCCACCAGCAGUCGCCUAUGCCAGCUCACCUCUGGCCGUGGUGCAGCUGCUGGUGCACGCAGCCCGGCAAAGCUAGCUCCAUAUUCUUCCCUCCCCUUCCCACUUUACUGAAGCCCGGAGCCCUGGAUGCAGAGGAAGGGCCUCAGCUCCACAGACUGCCAAAGUGGAGACCCGGUCCCUCCUCACCAAACAUGGUGAGGCAAGAUUUCAUCUUGUCUGCUAAGGAGCCACAAGCAG
rfam:Tupaia belangeri cont1.584653, whole genome shotgun sequence.